rnacentral:lncRNA from 1 species
UAACAAUGUAUCAGAAUCGAAACAUACAACAAAUACAUUUUUAAGUUGAACAUGAUAAUAGAAAAGUAAUAACACGAUGCUUCCUAACUCACUUUGCAGGAUAGACUGAUUCGCUAACUUUUCUAUCGUUGCUCUCGGCCUUAUAUGAUCUUGUGUUCGACUAUCAUCCAUUGUGAUCCAACGCCUUUCAUCACUUAAUAGAUCAGGAGGCACGAUCCAUCUGUUACAUCAUUGCCCAUUCCAUACACUCCCGCUGCAGGAGAUAACAUGCUUUGUUGUAUUCAAGAUCCAUACCAUACAUAAUUCCUCAAAUUGACAUUGAUAAUAAUCAAACUCCAUCGACUUCCAUUCCAUGCC